CAAAAGCCUUUGUACCAGGAGAUGAACUGUGUCCUCUGCUACUCUUGUUCUGAACUACAAGAACCUGCUGUCAUCAAAAAUAGUCAGAAGAUCGAAAGUGGUGAAUUUCCGGACCUUCCUGUCUUGUUUGGGGUUCAUCAAGGUCAUCAAAGAAUUCAACGCCUUCAUCUGUUCUUGUCCACCAAACAUCUUCACCAACCAGCAUAAAGUCUGCUAUCCUUUCCAAGUGGGCCUGAAAUAGCAGUGGAUUCUUCUCUCACCUUGAAAUUGCCCCACAGGAUGUUUUCCCUGCCUAUGAUAGUGCAGCAGCAAAUAUAUCUACAUUGUACACGUAUG